GUGCUCACUUCUACAGCACAUAUACUAAAAUUGGACAAUACAGAGAAGAUUAGCAUGGCCCCUGUGCAAGGAUGACGCACAAAUUCGUGAAAUGUUCCGUAUUUUU
rnacentral:snRNA from 1 species